rnacentral:rRNA from 1 species
CCUCCUAUAAGACCGUACCCUAAACCGACACAGGUGGACUGGUAGAGCAUACCAAGGCGCUUGAGAGAACGAUGUUGAAGGAACUCGGCAAAAUACCUCCGUAAGUUCGCGAGAAGGAGGCCCGGUUCCUAGGCAACUAGGGGCUGGGGGCACAAACCAGGGGGUGGCGACUGUUUAUUAAAAACACAGGGCUCUGCGAAGUCGCAAGACGACGUAUAGGGUCUGACGCCUGCCCGGUGCCUGAAGGUUAAAAGGAGAGGUGAGAGCCUUGAAUUGAAGCCCAGGUAAACGGCGGCCGUAACUAUAACGGUCCUAAGGUAGCGAAAUUCCUUGUCGGGUAAGUUCCGACCUGCACGAAUGGCGUAACGACUUCCCCGCUGUCUCCAACAUCGACUCAGCGAAAUUGAAUUGCCUGUCAAGAUGCAGGCUUCCCGCGGUUAGACGGAAAGACCCCGUGCACCUUUACUACAGCUUCGCACUGGCAUCAGGAUUGUGAUGUGCAGGAUAGGUGGUGGGCUUUGAAGCAGGAACGCAAGUACCUGUGGAGCCUCCCUUGAGAUACCACCCUUCGCACUCUUGAUGUCUAACCGCGGUCCGUUAUCCGGAUCCGGGACCCUGCGUGGCGGGUAGUUUGACUGGGGCGGUCGCCUCCUAAAGCGUAACGGAGGCGCGCGAAGGUUGGCUCAGAGCGGUCGGAAAUCGCUCGUUGAGUGCAAUGGCAGAAGCCAGCCUGACUGCGAGACUGACAAGUCGAGCAGAGUCGAAAGACGGCCAUAGUGAUCCGGUGGUCCCGAGUGGAAGGGCCAUCGCUCAACGGAUAAAAGGUACGCCGGGGAUAACAGGCUGAUACUGCCCAAGAGUCCAUAUCGACGGCAGUGUUUGGCACCUCGAUGUCGGCUCAUCUCAUCCUGGGGCUGGAGCAGGUCCCAAGGGUACGGCUGUUCGCCGUUUAAAGAGGUACGUGAGCUGGGUUUAGAACGUCGUGAGACAGUUCGGUCCCUAUCUGCCGUGGGUGUAGGAGACUUGAGAGGAGUUGCCCCUAGUACGAGAGGACCGGGGUGAACGAUCCACUGGUGGACCAGUUGUCGUGCCAACGGCAGUGCUGGGUAGCUAUGAUCGGACAGGAUAACCGCUGAAGGCAUCUAAGCGGGAAGCCCCCCUCAAAACAAGGUCUCCCUGAGGGCCGUGGAAGACCACCACGUCAAUAGGCCGGAGAUGUAAGCGCAGUAAUGCGUUCAGUUGACCGGUACUAAUCGCCCGAUAGGCUUGAU